rnacentral:rRNA from 1 species
UUAUGACGCCAGCCCAUAUAAUGCAAGUCGAGCGAAUCUGAGGGAGCUUGCUCCCAAAGAUUAGCGGCGGACGGGUGAGUAACACGUGGGCAACCUGCCUGUAAGACUGGGAUAACUCCGGGAAACCGGGGCUAAUACCGGAUAAUAUCUAUUUAUACAUAUAAUUAGAUUGAAAGAUGGUUCUGCUAUCACUUACAGAUGGGCCCGCGGCGCAUUAGCUAGUUGGUGAGGUAACGGCUCACCAAGGCGACGAUGCGUAGCCGACCUGAGAGGGUGAUCGGCCACACUGGGACUGAGACACGGCCCAGACUCCUACGGGAGGCAGCAGUAGGGAAUCUUCCGCAAUGGACGAAAGUCUGACGGAGCAACGCCGCGUGAGUGAUGAAGGUUUUCGGAUCGUAAAACUCUGUUGUUAGGGAAGAACAAGUACCGGAGUAACUGCCGGUACCUUGACGGUACCUAACCAGAAAGCCACGGCUAACUACGUGCCAGCAGCCGCGGUAAUACGUAGGUGGCAAGCGUUGUCCGGAAUUAUUGGGCGUAAAGCGCGCGCAGGCGGUUCCUUAAGUCUGAUGUGAAAGCCCACGGCUCAACCGUGGAGGGUCAUUGGAAACUGGGGAACUUGAGUGCAGAAGAGGAAAGUGGAAUUCCAAGUGUAGCGGUGAAAUGCGUAGAGAUUUGGAGGAACACCAGUGGCGAAGGCGACUUUCUGGUCUGUAACUGACGCUGAGGCGCGAAAGCGUGGGGAGCAAACAGGAUUAGAUACCCUGGUAGUCCACGCCGUAAACGAUGAGUGCUAAGUGUUAGAGGGUUUCCGCCCUUUAGUGCUGCAGCAAACGCAUUAAGCACUCCGCCUGGGGAGUACGACCGCAAGGUUGAAACUCAAAGGAAAUUGACGGGGGCCCCGCACAAGCGGUGGAAGCAUGUGGUUUUAUUUCGAAGCAACGCGGAAGAAUCCUUACCAGGUCCUGGACAUCCUCUGGACAAUUCCUAGAGGAUAGGGACUUUCCCCUUUCGGGGGGACAAGAGUGGACAGGUGGUUGCAUGGUUGUCGUUCGGCUCGUGUUCGUGAGAAUGUUUGGUAUAAGUCCCCGCCAACGAGCGCCAACCCUUGGAAUCCUUUAAUUGCCAACAUUAUUGGCCACUCUAGUUGACAUUGCCGGGUGACAAACCGGGAGGAAUGGGUGGGG